GAUGAACGCUAGCGGCGGGCAUAAUACAUGCAAGUCGAACGGGAUAAGUUGUAGCAAUACGACUUUGAGAGUGGCGCACGGGUGCGUAACACGUAUGCAACUUGCCCUUAACAGGGGGAUAGCUUUCGGAAACGAAAAUUAAUACCCCAUAUUAUUACUUAUAUGCAUGUAUGAGUAAUGAAAGCUCCGGCGGCUAAGGAUGGGCAUGCGGCUGAUUAGCUAGUUGGCGAGGUAAAGGCUCACCAAGGCGACGAUCAGUAGGGGGUCUGAGAGGAUGUCCCCCCACACUGGUACUGAGACGCGGACCAGAAUCCUACGGGAGGCAGCAGUAGGGAAUAUUGGUCAAUGGAGGCAACUCUGAACCAGCCACGCCGCGUGCAGGAUGAAGGCCCUCUGGGUUGUAAACUGCUUUUGUUAGGGAAAAAACCCCUCGAUGCGUUGAGGGUUGAUGGUACCUAAAGAAUAAGGAUCGGCUAACUCCGUGCCAGCAGCCGCCGUAAAAC
rnacentral:rRNA from 1 species